UGAACCCGCCGUUCUUCAGGAACUGAACGUGACCGCACACCUGGAAGAUGGCUUCAACGAAUUCGCCUGGAGCUCCCAAACCGAAAAUACGUGUAUUUCUCUCAAGUUUUUUGUUUUUUGUUUUCACAGAGAACCGGGGCCCGAUUAAAGCUCACGUUUUAAGGGACGUUACCCUGAUUUGGCAGAGGUCCGCUGAAACGAGAGCUAACGUUAGCUAAUGCGUAGCAGCUAGCUAAACUGUGACGCUAGCUGCUCCCUUCCUGUGAGUUUUGUUGUUGCUGCUGCAGGAGGCAUCACAAAAGUGCUGAGGCAAAAUAUUCAACAGUUUCUCACCCCAGUAGAAACUCUGCUUUCUGCUGCAUUACUCUCUGAUUUACUUCUGGUUUCGGGAGGUUUUGGUGAAGAUGAAGAGAUGGCAGACUCGUGACUCCAAGAAAUAACGGUGAUGUGCCCUGGUGCUACACUUGGUUUCUUCAUGAGCUCUGUUAAAGGUUGGGCUUCCAUUAAGUCACAGAAGAUCUGAAUAUCUCCAAUAUAUAAUCUGGAAGUUGGUUGAGAGGCAGAAAGACCAAGGAGUCAAAAAUGUUGGACAUCACUCACUUCAUGUUCACUGUCCAUGGCUGUGGCAGAGCAAGCUACAUAUCUGGAAAAGCUGUGCAUAAUCAAAGCAGUGCUUCAGUGAUUCCUUCAGCUCUCAGUGACACUGCAAGAUCAUGUUUUGGACUGGAACCCUGACAGUCUGACAGAAGAGUCUGUGGUGGAGUCGUUCUACCACCCAUCCAGUGGCAGGACUGAGGGCGGCCAUCGAUUCCAUGACUUCCUCCUAGGACAAUGUCUCAGGCAGCCAAUCUCCGCUGACACUGGACAAGAGGGGGGGUACACCCUGGACAGAUUACCAGUCUAUUGUGGGGCUGACACAUGGAGAGAAAAACAACCAUUCACGUUCAUGGACUGUGGGAGGAGGCUG